CGGGGUGAGUAAUGUCUGGGAAACUGCCUGAUGGAGGGGGAUAACUGCUGGAAACGGUAGCUAAUACCGCAUAACGUCGCAAGACCAAAGAGGGGGACCUUCGGGGCCUCUUGCCAUCGGAUGUGCCCAGAUGGGAUUAGCUAGUAGGUGGGGUAACGGCUCACCUAGGCGACGAUCCCUAGCUGGUCUGAGAGGAUGACCAGCCACACUGGAACUGAGACACGGUCCAG
rnacentral:rRNA from 1 species